CUGAGAAAUGUUGAUCUUCAUGAAGCCUGGCCAUCAUCAGCUCCCCAUACAGGUCCCUGCUGAUCGAACCAAGGGCCCCCUGCAGUGGAAGCAUGGAGUCUUAACCACUGGACCGCCAGAUUUGCAGCCGAGCUCCUGACCAGACAAGCAGGUCCCCUGUUGAAAGCAGCCAGCCAGGGGCCGUCUCUACAGCAUCCUAAAUCAGCAGUGACCCCUUUAUUCCCACCCAGAGUUGCAACAA